rnacentral:rRNA from 1 species
CCCUUAGAUGUUCUGGGCCGCACGCGCGCUACACUGACGAUGGCAACGAGUUUUUCCUUCGCCGAAAGGUGUGGGUAAUCUUUUGAAACAUCGUCGUGCUGGGGAUAGAUCAUUGCAAUUUUUGAUCUUGAACGAGGAAUUCCUAGUAAGCGCGAGUCAUCAGCUCGCGUUGAUUACGUCCCUGCCCUUUGUACACACCGCCCGUCGCUACUACCGAUUGAAUGGUUUAGUGAGGACUCCUGAUUGGCGCCGCCGCCACGGCAACGGAGCAGCGGACUGCCGAAAAGUUGUUCAAACUUGAUCAUUUAGAGGAAGUAAAAGUCGUAACA